rnacentral:lncRNA from 1 species
GAAAAGGAAAGGAUCGGAAAUGAAACAUUGGAUUGAAACUGGCGUAGUAUCGCUGGGAAAAUUGUCCCACCGUGGAUCGCAUGAUAUCUCAAAAUGUUUUAAUCGGUUUCUGCAAGGAAACUUCACCUUGACAAGAAACAACGAAGCGGCCGAAGCCAGCAUAGAUUCUCGCAAAUCUCCCCAUCAGACAUAAGAACGAUCUUCUAAGUGAUCCAGUUCGUGUCACCCCAGAUCAAC